rnacentral:misc_RNA from 1 species
GCUGCUCAAGUUGGUAAGGAACCCCUAGAAACAGCAAAAUUAAAUCCAUAAAAUCAAGAUAAAAUAAAUUAAUGUUUAAGCCAUCCUCCCAAAAUCACAGAAGGAGAAGCAAGAACUCUCGGCCAGGAGGACUGGAGAACUAUCUGCAGCAUUCCACCCUCAUUAUCCAAAUCAGAGAGACAUCAAUUUUACAUUAUGCAAUUGGGACUUUCUU